UACGUAGGAGGCGAGCGUUGUCCGGAAUUACUGGGCGUAAAGAGCGCGUAGGCGGUGCUGUACGACUGGUGUGAAAAGCCCCCGGCUCAACUGGGGAGGGUCAUCGGUAACGGCAGUGCUCUGAGUGCAGGAGAGGGACGUGGAACUCCGGGAGUAGCGGUGAAAUGCCGUAGAGACCCGGAGGAACACCAGUGGCGAAGGCGGCGUCCUGGUCUGCAACUGACGGCUGUGGCGCGAAAGCUAGGGGAGCGAACGGG
rnacentral:rRNA from 1 species